rnacentral:rRNA from 1 species
GUUGAACGCUGGCGGCAUGCCUUACACAUGCAAGUCGAACGGCAGCACGGGAGCAAUCCUGGUGGCGAGUGGCGAACGGGUGAGUAAUAUAUCGGAACGUGCCCAGUAGUGGGGGAUAACUGCUCGAAAGAGCAGCUAAUACCGCAUACGACCUGAGGGUGAAAGGGGGGGAUCGCAAGACCUCUCGCUAUUGGAACGGCCGAUAUCAGAGUAGCUAGUUGGUGGGGUAAAGGCCUACCAAGGCAACGAUCUGUAGUUGGUCUGAGAGGACGACCAGCCACACUGGGACUGAGACACGGCCCAGACUCCUACGGGAGGCAGCAGUGGGGAAUUUUGGACAAUGGGCGCAAGCCUGAUCCAGCAAUGCCGCGUGCAGGAAGAAGGCCUUCGGGUUGUAAACUGCUUUUGUCAGGGAAGAAAUCCUCUAGGUUAAUACCCUUGGGGGGAUGACGGUACCUGAAGAAUAAGCACCGGCUAACGACGUGCCAGCCGCCGCCGUAAGAC